rnacentral:misc_RNA from 1 species
AAAUGCGAUAAGUAAUGUGAAUUGCAGAAUUCAGUGAAUCAUCGAAUCUUUGAACGCACGUUGCGCCCGCCAGUAUUCUGGCGGGCAUGCCUGUUCGAGCGUCAUUACAACCCUCAGGCCCCCGGGCCUGGCGUUGGGGAUCGGCGGAAGCCCCCUGCGGGCACAACGCCGUCCCCCAAAUACAGUGGCGGUCCCGCCGCAGCUUCCAUUGCGUAGUAGCUAACACCUCGCAACUGGAGAGCGGCGCGGCCACGCCGUAAAACACCCAACUUCUGAAUGUUGACCUCGAAUCAGGUAGGAAUACCCGCUGAACUUAAGC